AGGAGGGUUGUAGCUGGCCUCUAGGGGCAUGUGCACGCUCUCUUCCGGACCUUUCGCCGUAUGGGCGCGGGGCGACCCGCGUCUUCAUAUACCUCUUCGUGUAUAAAGUCUUUGAAUGAUUUACCAUCAUCGAGUCGCGACUUCUAGGAGACGCGAUUCUUUGAGAAAAAAGUUAUUACAACUUUCAGCAACGGAUCUCUUGGCUCUCGCAUAGAUGAAGAACGCAGCGAAUCGCGAUAGUAAUGUGAAUUGCAGAUCUACAGUGAAUCAUCGAAUCUUUGAACGCACCUUGCGCUCCUCGGUGUUCCGAGGAGCAUGCCUGUUUGAGUGUCAGUAAAUUCUCAACCCCUCUCGAUUUGCUUCGAGCGGGUGCUUGGAUGUUGGGAGCUGCCGGAGACACUGGAYUCGUCCACGACUCGGGCUCCUCUUAAAUGAAUCGGCUCGCGGUCGACUUUCGACUUUGCAUGACAAGGCCUUUGGCGUGAUAAUGAUCGCCGUUCGCCGAAGUGCAAGACAGAAUGGUCCCGUGCCUCUAAUGCAUCGACGCCUCU
rnacentral:rRNA from 1 species